AACUCGCGUGAGCUAUCAUUACGUCGUAUGAAACAAAAUGUAAAGAAGGAGUUUUUGUUACGAAAAAAUAUAAUACAAAAACUGACAUAAACUAGUCGUAACUUAAUUCCAUUUAGAAUAUUUGCAGCCUGAGAAACAUAUUCUAUACGUCAGAUACAAAUUUUAAAGUUGUUUUGAUAACUUUUGCAGUAGUUUUCUGUGAAUUCUUGGGGUGUUUCAUACGACGUAAUGAAAACUCACCUGAACCCCCCCCCCCCUUCCCCCCCACUCCCUGCUGAGACGAUGAAAAGAUAAAAUAAAAAUUAAUCUCCAAUAACACUUUUAUUUUCACAUUUUCAUUCCACAUUGAUACAAUUUAAAAAAAACAGUCUAGUUGACAUCACUGCCGACAACACAAAAAAGAGGAAAAAGAAGCCUUCGUUUUUCGCGUUUCAAAGUUCCGUACCGGUAAAUACCAGCACCAAAGUUUUCUCCGAUUGUGGUUUGCCGGACGGCAAUCGGCAGCCGCAAAUCGGAUGUUGAGGACAUAUAUACAGGGACUUUUUCUAGCGAUGAUCGCAACAGCAACAUUUUCGCUGAAGGAGCCAUGCAUCACGUUGAAAGAAGGAGGAGUGAGGAUUCUGGAUCCAGCAGCUGCGACAAUGUUCCGCCCGUGUGUCGUGUGUAACCUGGUUUAGGAGCUGAUGAAAACAAAGUCAGAAGGGUAUGGAGUGGUCCUAAACAAGUACUUGUCGUUCCAGGCGGAUCCCCCGGAAUGGUUAGGUUUUUUCCAGGGUCCUGGUCCGUCGGCCUAGCUGUUUACCAGGCAUUCCGUAGCGGCUGUACACCGUUGUGUAAGUACCUAAUAAAAUCUCAAUGAAGAUGA